UACAGAGGUGGCAAGCGUUGUUCGGAAUUACUGGGCGUAAAGGGCGAGUAGGCGGCCUUCUAAGUCAGACGUGAAAUCCCCGGCUUAACCUGGGAACUGCGUCUGAUACUGGGAGGCUAGAGUAUGGGAGAGGGAUGUGGAAUUCCUGGUGUAGCGGUGAAAUGCGCAGAUAUAGGAGGAACACCGAUUGCGAAGGCAGCUCGCUGGGACGUAACUGACGCUGAGACGCGAAAGCGUGGGGAGCAAACAGG
rnacentral:rRNA from 1 species